rnacentral:rRNA from 1 species
CCUACGGGGGGCAGCAGUGGGGGAUAUUGCACAAUGGGGGGAACCCUGAUGCAGCGACGCCGCGUGGGUGAAGAAGCGCCUCGGCGCGUAAAGCCCUGUCAGCAGGGAAGAAAAUGACGGUACCUGAAGAAGAAGCCCCGGCUAACUACGUGCCAGCAGCCGCGGUAAUACGUAGGGGGCAAGCGUUAUCCGGAUUUCCUGGGUGUUACGGGGGCGCAGACGGCGAUGCAAGCCAGGAGUGAAAGCCCGGGGCGCAACCCCGGGCCUGCUGUUGGAACUGCGUGGCUGGAGUGCAGGAGGGGCAGGCGGAAUUCCUGGUGUAGCGGUGAAAUGCGUAGAUAUCAGGAGGAACACCGGUGGCGAAGGCGGCCUGCUGGACUGCAACUGACGUUGAGGCCCGAAAGCGUGGGGAGCAAACAGGAUUAGAUACCCUUGUAGUC